rnacentral:snRNA from 1 species
CUACUCUGAUCUCUCUUCAGAUGUCGAAUAAAUCUUACGCCUUUUACUAAAGAUUUCCGUGGAGAGGGAUACUCUCAUGAGUCUAACGUGAUUUUUUGUAAGUAACAACC